rnacentral:siRNA from 1 species
CGCAACUUGGAGAUCGUAUAUAAC